GGUCCUAUCCCUGGGCAUGGUCCUGUGCCCUCCAGCACUGAUGCACUUGUCUCUUUUGUGACAGGGAGACCGUGGGCAGCCGGGAGAACUCGGAGAAGCAGGGGAGAAGGGCGAUCGCGGACCCCCUGGGCCGGAAGGGAAGAAGGGGGAGCUGGGAGCUCCAGGCCGCCUGGGCCCAGCAGGCAGAGAGGUGAGUGUGGGAGUGUGCCUAGCCCAGGUGGAACGUGGCAGUGCCAGCCCCACACUGUUGCACAGCCUGGGCAGGAAUGCUCCUGUGCUGAGAUGUGUUUGCCGCGGCGCCCCCUGCUGAUCUGGCACCGUGUUUUUUCUCCCCUACCCCUCC
rnacentral:lncRNA from 1 species